GAUGAACGCUGGCGGCGUGCCUAAUACAUGCAAGUCGAGCGAACAGACGAGGAGCUUGCUCCUCUGACGUUAGCGGCGGACGGGUGAGUAACACGUGGAUAACCUACCUAUAAGACUGGGAUAACUUCGGGAAACCGGAGCUAAUACCGGAUAAUAUAUUGAACCGCAUGGUUCAAUAGUGAAAGACGGUUUUGCUGUCACUUAUAGAUGGAUCCGCGCCGCAUUAGCUAGUUGGUAAGGUAACGGCUUACCAAGGCAACGAUGCGUAGCCGACCUGAGAGCGAGAGAGGUCAAUCAGGAGCUGCGACCCGAGAUGGGCACAGACGGGACGCAGCAGUAGGGAGUAAGCCAUGAUGGGCGUCAGCCAGUAUAGUCAACUGAGCGGGAAAGAACAAAGUAUUAAGUACGUAAAACCGUGUUGAGAGUACAUAACAAAAAGGUAAGUAACAAGGCCCGCCGAGCAGGUACGAAAUAAAAAGGCCACCGCUAACUGCUU
rnacentral:rRNA from 1 species